CCCCACGGACAGGGGCGUCCGCGCAUUUGGCGCGGUCUGAGAAGCACCCUUCGAACCUGAACCAGAUCAUGCUGGCGUAGGAAGUCCGCGGUGCGACGAA
rnacentral:ncRNA from 2 species